rnacentral:sRNA from 1 species
UAGAAAAUCCAAAGGGAGCAGUUACCGCAGUUGCAUUCGCAUCAAGAAAAUGAGUCGUAUCGGCCACAAGAACACGAGGAUUUGUAGCAUUAGGAGUAUCUACAACCCCAGUUGUAGCAAGAAUAGGAGAGUCGGAAGACGACUCAUCACCAGUUUCUUCAACACCAAUUCUAGUAGGAAAAGGAGAGACGGAAGGCAACGAGUCACCGUGUUCUUUAAGGAUCUCGAUCCUUCCGUUAAGCUGAUCGAGAUAUAGAUUUAUACAAGAUAACAAAUCUUGAAGGUCUUUUGCAUCAUAACGAUACUGCGACAUUUUGCCUUCAACACAAUCAAACAUAAAUCGUCUAACCUGUAACUCUUGGUUCGCACCAACCAGGUUCUGUAGUUGCUCUUUUGCUUUGGUAAUCCUCUCCAUUAGAUACGUUUCUUGAUUCAUCAUCUUCCUUGUUCGGGCUGUCGGCGACAUCUCCAGAAACUCUGGAACCGGAAUGAAUGGACUGUAGAUGAGAGUACAAGCUUGGACACCACAUAGAGUUGACAACUCGUAGAGUUUCUUCAUUAUCCCAUUUUUCCUCUUCAUGAAGGAUGUUUCCCUUGAUAUUUCAUUAGCUAUCAAAGAUAGCUUUACCUUCUUCAUCCCCAUGAAUUUGUUUUUUGUUUUGUGUGGUUGUUUAAUUUGUUGGCUCAAAGACUGUUUAUAUAGCAAAGAAGGUGAUUCUAGUCACUACGAUUCUUAUCAAUUUAGUGGACUCAUUAAUUCUAAAUAACAUCCAGGAAAUCUCUUAUUAAUUAAUUGACCAGGUAAUUCAUUAUUAUCUAUAU